AUACGUAGGGGGCAAGCGUUGUCCGGAAUUAUUGGGCGUAAAGCGCGCGCAGGUGGUUUCUUAAGUCUGAUGUGAAAGCCCACGGCUCAACCGUGGAGGGUCAUUGGAAACUGGGAGACUUGAGUGCAGAAGAGGAUAGUGGAAUUCCAAGUGUAGCGGUGAAAUGCGUAGAGAUUUGGAGAAACACCAGUGGAGAAGGCGACUGUCUGGUCUGUAACUGACACUGAGGCGCGAAAGCGUGGGGAGCAAACAGGAUUAGAUACCCUGGUAGUCCACGCCGUAAACGAUGAGUGCUAAGUGUUGGGGGGUUUCCGCCCCUCAGUGCUGCAGCUAACGCAUUAAGCACUCCGCCUGGGGAGUACGGUCGCAAGACUGAAACUCAAAGGAAUUGACGGG
rnacentral:rRNA from 1 species